GUGAGGAAUUUUCCGCAAUGGGCGAAAGCCUGUCGGAGCAAUGCCGCGUGAAGGAUGAAGGCCUAUGGGUUGUAAACUUCUUUUCUCAGAAAAGAAUUAUGACGGUAUCUGAGGAAUAAGCAUCGGCUAACUCUGUGCCAGCAGCCGCGGUAAGACAGAGGAUGCAAGCGUUAUCCGGAAUGAUUGGGCGUAAAGCGUCUGUAGGUUGUUUAAAAAGUAUUCUGUCAAAGAUUAGGGCUUAACCCUAGAUAGGCAGAAUAAACUUUUAAGCUAGAGUUUGGUGGAGGCAGAGGGAAUUUCCGGUGGAGCGGUGAGAAGCGUAGAUAUCGGGAGGAACACCAAAGGCGAAGGCACUCUGCUGGGCCAAUACUAACACUGAGAGACGAAAGCGAGGGGAGCAAAUGGGAUUAGAAACCCCAGUAGUCC
rnacentral:rRNA from 1 species